CGUGAACAGCAUUCUUUAUUACCAGUUAAGGUGUGGUGAGCGGUCCUGAACGUCCGUUUUGCUGGCAAGCUGCCGAAUAUGACUUCAGCAGGAAGUGGGAGCCUCCUCCAGCUGUCCGUCGGGGGCUGACAGCAGUCAUUGGGGUCACAGCAGUCAGGCUAUGCUGAGAGGCUGCAGCCGGAACCCUUGGUGUCCCCAAAAGCCAACAGCUCCCCAGCUCUUCUGGACCCCACCUUUAUAUUUGCUGAAAGGAAUCUGCUCUGGCCUGGCAUGUCUGGGUCAAGUGUCUGCUGCUGGUCCAGGGCCAGUCAGCUAAGCCAUGGGGACAUAAGACUGUGACCAUACUGGACUGAGAGAGGAGAGACACAGAGAGACAGAGACAGAGAGGGAGGAGAGGAAGGAGGAAGAGUCAGCAGAGGAGAGAGAGAAAGAGAAACUUUAUUAACAGGAGGCCAAAUAACUGAACUUGCUGGUUGUGGAGAAUUAAAACGUUGCAAAGAGAGCCAAAUUAUCUUGGGCUAUUUCCAGUUCCACUGACUAAAGCCCUUGUG